GACGGAGGGUGCUAGCGUUGUUCGGAAUUACUGGGCGUAAAGGGCGCGUAGGCGGCUGCUAAAGUCGGGUGUGAAAGCCCGGGGCUCAACCCCGGAACGGCACCCGAGACUGGGCGGCUCGAGACCGGGAGAGGUGGGUGGAAUACCCAGUGUAGAGGUGAAAUUCGUAGAUAUUGGGUGGAACACCGGUGGCGAAAGCGGCUCACUGGCCCGGUUCUGACGCUGAGGCGCGAAAGCGUGGGGAGCAAACAGG
rnacentral:rRNA from 1 species